CCGGCCUACAAGGAGAAACCAGGACAGGGCUAGUUUGAGCUUCAGGAUUGGUGAUGCCAGGAGGAGGAAGACACACAAAAAGGAGAUGGGGUCCCUUGCCAUUCCUUGGGUUCCCAAACCUCUGGACCCUGGGUGGGAGCCCUGAUGCUGUCUGUCCUCUGUCACGCUGGAGACGGGUUAUCUCUCCCUCCACUAGACUGCGUCCCCUAGGAGAACUGGAACUCAACCUAAGUCAUCUCUAGUUUUCAAUGCCCAGCCUGAUACCUGACCCACAGAGAACCACAAUAAAUAUUGCUGGAAACCUCCCUCUUUAUGUCAUCAACACCUGAAAGAAGCAACUCUUGUUCAUCUUGUCUCAGUGCACAGGGGCACAGAGUAGAUGUUCAAUGAAGGCUUGCUGAAUGAAUGAACAGAAUUUGGAAAGAGAGAGGCGAGAAUGGGCCAUGGGGUGGAAGGUGUGUAACUUUGGACGAGUGACUUAGCCUCUGAGUGUUAGUUUCCAGAUCUGGCAAAUGGCGAUAACAACUACCUUGCCAGGCCUGUUGUGAAGGAUAAAGAUUUUAUGUAAGUAAAGCCCCUGGUGUGCAGUAACCAGUAGAUUAAUUAAACCAGCAGUUUGUAAAUGACAUGCAAUCAGUAAAGCUGCUCUGGGGGGAUUUCUCAUAAGAGCAGUUCCCCGACCGACCGGAGUC